GUGAGGAUAAAAAACAUGUUCAAAUAAACAAACCUUAAUCUUCAUUUAUACAUCCAAUUUUAUAUUUUUUUGCAGAUGAUGUUUUACACCUCUAAAGGUAUAGUCGUGUAAUUAUUACUGUCACUUCAUAUACACAUUCUUUUCGGCGAAUUCCUUCGCCUGGAAAGGCGCUCGAAACGCCGGAAUUGUUGUUAUAUUUUUUACACAGUUUGAUCCUGCAAUUCCUGAAGGAAUAUUAUAUUUUAACCUAAUUCACAGUUCGGUUAUUGAAACCGCAGUGCUUACAUGAUUGUGUUCCAUGUCCUCUUGGCUCCCUGCAAUCUCGUCGAGAUCUCACUUUGAUAGGGGUUACUCAAAUACCUGAGCCUGGCUGUCCACCUUGUAAUCCUUGUGGCAGAGGGACGAUUUAAUUACUACUCGAUGUAUUAUAAUUACUACUUCAUCAAUGUUGUCACACGCGCAACUCUAUACUGCAUGGAUUCAUGUGUAUAUUAGAAUACAAACAAAGUUAGUUAAUUAAUAAAAUAUAUGUCGUAUUUUUUUUCUGCAUGAUGCAUGAAAAAUUAUAUUCCCUAGGCCGCUUUAGUGGUUGUAACUUGUAAGCUUUACAAGAAGAGAUUAUUAAAGACGUUUUUAUAUGUCUGAGACUCUGAUGUGUAUUCUAA